CCUACGGGGGGCAGCAGUGGGGAAUAUUGCACAAUGGGGGAAACCCUGAUGCAGCGACGCCGCGUGAGUGAAGAAGUAUUUCGGUAUGUAAAGCUCUAUCAGCAGGGAAGAAAAUGACGGUACCUGAUUAAGAAGCCCCGGCUAACUACGUGCCAGCAGCCGCGGUAAUACGUAGGGGGCAAGCGUUAUCCGGAUUUACUGGGUGUAAAGGGGGGGUAGACGGCAGCACAAGUCUGGAGGGAAAUGCCGGGGCUUAACCCCGGAACUGCUUUGGAAACUGUGCAGCUAGAGUGCAGGAGAGGUAAGUGGAAUUCCUAGUGUAGCGGUGAAAUGCGUAGAUAUUAGGAGGAACACCAGUGGCGAAGGCGGCUUACUGGACUGUAACUGACGUUGAGGCUCGAAAGCGUGGGGAGCAAACAGGAUUAGAUACCCUUGUAGUC
rnacentral:rRNA from 1 species